GUAUGUUCCUGCACAGUUUGAUGUUUUGUUUUUUCCCUCACAGUCCAUAAAUUACUGCUUACUGCCAUGACCACACUUCUCGCUGUGGAAAUGUUUAAAUUCAAAUUGAGAAGAUUAUAUGAUUGUUUAACCAAUUAUCGCUUUGCAGUUCAUUUUAGGAAGUGUUCCUAUUUUUAUUGCAAAAGCAAAAUAAUCGUCUGAAGCUUUUGUAAGAUCUGUUUGAAAGAUGAAUCUGAUUGCUUUGCCGGACUCUACAUAGUCUUGCGUUGAGUCAGCUUAGAUUUGAAUGUUAAAGAGCUUUUCUAGUCAGAGGUUUCAAUGGUACACAGUUCUGCUUAACACCCUGUUCCAUUGAAAACAUCACUGGAGCUAUCUUUCAGGGAAGUGAUGUUUAAUAAGAUGUUGACUUAUUUAUUGGAACCUGUUUAAUUGCCUAAAAGCCAACCAUUUUUCUACACAGAAGCAGAGAGAAAUCUGAUUUGUUUUGCCUUCUGUCAAUGGACACAGCACCUUUACAGAGAUGUUCAAUACACCACAAGUAUCAGAGAACAUGUAGCAAAUAUGCAGUGGGUACCUUACUUUACUAACAUUUUUUUUUUUUUUUUUUAGAAAGUCCACUAAAUGGGAUUAAAAAGGGUUCUUUUGAAACUCUGGGCAUAACUACCCAGACUAAAAAGGCUGUUUUGCACAGUGCUUUGUAUUGCACUAUUAUCUGUUUCUCAAUUACUGGAAAUGUGGGAUAAUGUUGAUUUACAUUAUAUAGGUUUUAACUAUAAGGGUGACAGUUUGGACACACUUUAAAAUGUG